rnacentral:rRNA from 1 species
AACGAACGCUGGCGGCAGGCCUAACACAUGCAAGUCGAGCGCGCCCUUCGGGGUGAGCGGCGGACGGGUUAGUAACGCGUGGGAACGUACCCUUUUCUGCGGAAUAGCCUCUGGAAACGGAGAGUAAUACCGCAUACGCCCUUCGGGGGAAAGAAUUUCGGUGAAGGAUCGGCCCGCGUUAGAUUAGGUAGUUGGUGGGGUAACGGCCUACCAAGCCUACGAUCUAUAGCUGGUUUUAGAGGAUGAUCAGCAACACUGGGACUGAGACACGGCCCAGACUCCUACGGGAGGCAGCAGUGGGGAAUCUUGGACAAUGGGGGCAACCCUGAUCCAGCCAUGCCGCGUGAGUGAAGAAGGCCUGCGGGUUGUAAAGCACUUUCGCUAGGGAAGAUAAUGACGGUACCUAGAUAAGAAGCACCGGCUAACUCCGUGCCCAGCCG